rnacentral:rRNA from 1 species
UACGUAGGGGGCAAGCGUUGUCCGGAAUUAUUGGGCGUAAAGCGCGUGUAGGCGGCUCGGUAAGUCUGCUGUGAAAGUCCAGGGCUCAACCCUGGAAUGCCGGUGGAUACUGUCGAGCUAGAGUCCGGAAGAGGCGAGUGGAAUUCCUGGUGUAGCGGUGAAAUGCGCAGAUAUCAGGAGGAACACCGAUGGCGAAGGCAGGUCUCUGGGCCACUACUGACGCUGAGAAGCGGAAAGCAUGGGGAGCGAACAGG